CCUUACUCAGUGUGACUCGAAGAUCUUCCAUGGUAUGGUCAUGGAGACUGGUCAAAAUAGCUUUGAUAGUCUGCUAAAAGUAGCAGAAAAGGCCCAUUUGGAAUCACAGAAGCAAAAAACUGCCUAGCAUCAAUAUUUAGAUGUCUACGAAAACAAAAUAAAGUACUUAAAGUAUUGUCAAUUAGUUAUCUACAAAUUAAUUACAAUAAAUCUCAGACUCUUAGUUUAUCGGUGUCUCUAUACAUAUACGCAAUAAA
rnacentral:sRNA from 1 species